rnacentral:rRNA from 1 species
AACCAGGGGGUUAAGUUGUAUUAUACGGUGAAAAGACAGUUAAAUAGGAAAAGAAAGGUCCAAUGAUUGCACUAUCAGGAGGUAGAAUUCGGAGAUAGACAAAUAUAUUUAAUAAGACCUGUGUAUUGAGGCUGUGACAACUUUGAGGGAAACUAGGAUUAGAUACCCUAUUAUUCAUAGAAGUAAAUAAGAGAUUCUACCAGAGUACUAAGAAUAAAAAAUUUAAAACUCAAAGGGCUUGGCGGUGUUUUAGACUACUUAGGGGAACCUGUCUCAUAAUCGACAAUCCACGCUAGACCUAACCUUUUUUUGCGUUCAGUUUGUAUACCGUCGUCGCCAGGUAACUUUUAAGAUAUAAACAGUUAGCUAGCUAAAUAUUUAAAUUAAGACGUCAGAUCAAGGUGCAGCUAACAAUAAGGUGUAGAUGGGUUACAAUUACUCAUUUGUAACAACGGACAAUGACCUCAAAGGCCAUUGGGAAGGAGGACUUAAAAGUAAAACAAAUUAUAUAAACAUUUUGAAUAAAGCUCUGAAACGUGC